UACGUAGGGUGCGAGCGUUAAUCGGAAUUACUGGGCGUAAAGCGUGCGUAGGCGGUUUGUUAAGUCUGUUGUGAAAUCCCCGGGCUCAACCUGGGAAUGGCAAUGGAUACUGGCAGGCUAGAGUGUGUCAGAGGAUGGUGGAAUUCCCGGUGUAGCGGUGAAAUGCGUAGAGAUCGGGAGGAACAUCAGUGGCGAAGGCGGCCAUCUGGGACAACACUGACGCUGAGGCACGAAAGCGUGGGGAGCAAACAGG
rnacentral:rRNA from 1 species